AGUGGGAUAGCUGGGUCAAAUAGUGGUUCCAUUCAAGUUUUACUGCUGUCCAGAUUGGUUGCACCAUUUGCAGUCCCACCAGCAAU
rnacentral:pre_miRNA from 1 species